GAGUUUGAUCGUGGCUCAGAUUGAACGCUGGCGGCACGCCUAACACAUGCAAGUCGAGCGGUAACAUGCUUAGUAGCAAUACUAAGUGAUGACGAGCGGCGGACGGGUGAGGAACACGUAGGAAUCUACCUAGUAGAGGGGGAUAACCAGGGGAAACUUUGGCUAAUACCGCGUAAUCUCGAAAGAGCAAAGCUGCAGCAAUGUGGCGCUAUUAGAGGAGCCUGCGUCCGAUUAGCUAGUUGGUAGGGUAAAAGCCUACCAAGGCGAUGAUCGGUAACUGGUCUGAGAGGACGACCAGUCACACUGGGACUGAGACACGGCCCAGACUCCUACGGGAGGCAGCAGUGGGGAAUCUUGGACAAUGGGGGCAACCCUGAUCCAGCGACGCCGCGUGUGUGAAGAAGGCCUGCGGGUUGUAAAGCACUUUUAGUGGGGAUGAAAAGCCAACGGCUAAUACCUGUUGGUCUUGACCUAA
rnacentral:rRNA from 1 species